UGUAUGCUUGCCCUAUCCCAGAGUGAUCCACGAUAGCCAACUGCCGCGCAGCGGUAGGGCGCUGUUCUGCGUCGCGAGCCGUUCGAUCCAAGAGCGCGGUCCGCAUCAAUCUCGAUAGUUCGUGCAGUCCCAAUUUCCCCCAAUGCGGGGUAAACCCUAGCCCGAGCCGCCGCCACCCUUAUUCUGUUCCUCGUCCGUUCCUCUCUCCCACGCGCCCGCCUCGACCUGCCUCCAUGGAAUGUCCCACCUCUCCUCAUUCAUCCUUCUCCCUCGAUGAGCUUGCACCACCCCUUCGCUCCGCCUCUCCUUCGUGCUCGUUGAGUCGGGAACGCACGUGCCCAUGGCUCAGGACCAUUGGAGGAGAAAAACUAACCAACUAGAAAAGCAGAACUGGCAGCAACAAAAACUCUUUCACGGCACCGCAGCAGCCAGUUGAUUCCCCAACUCAUCUCAUCUCCUAGAACACCUCUUUUCUCUGUAUUUUCCGUUUCAGCGUUCGAUCUGGUUUUCAUUGUUUUCCCCUCUCCUCAAUCCUUUUACACAAUCUGAUUUUUGGAUCAUUUCAGGAGGACCAGGAGUUUGUUUUAUUCGAUAGAGGAGCACACCGUUCAGAAUAUGCAGGCAAGACAAGUAAUGAACUACAAUUUUAUUUUUCAAUGUGGGUGCUCCAGUGAGCAUGAUAAAUUGUGUUUUAACUGCUAAGUACUGGGUACAAUGUGUACAAGAAAUUAAUCUUUAGGCUGACUGAUGUCACACAAAUAAUUGAUGAAAAAAAUCUUGGGCAUAUAAUUUUUUGUGUUAGUGCCCUCUACAUGUUUGUUGUUAUGCUUCAUACAGCUGAAUCUAUUUUUUUUCAGGUUUUCUGACUGCAUACACAUGCUCAUAGACGAGCACACGUCCCUGGCGAGCAAAUGCAACCCAUGGCCGCCACGCCUAUGGGUGCAGUUGGGUGGUCAUUGUGAAAUCUGUAGAAAAGCAAUAUCCGAGCUGGAAGAAACCAAUUGGCAUGACCAGAUAGAACUUCAGACUAGGCAUUCAUGCAGUGGCCGAUGGAAGCAGCAUCAGUUGAGAAGCUAGAGAAAUUACCACUUGAUAGCAUCCUUGUAAGGAGUAUCAUACGCCUCAUACAUUUUCUGAAUUUGUUAAAGAUAACAUCGUUAAAGAUAACAUCUAUCUACACUGACGAUGUUCACAAACUCAACCUCAUGAUUUCUCUGUAAACUUGAUGAGAUCCGCAUGACAGAAACUGUGUGUAGCAAAGUUUGCAUGAGCAUGUUCAAUUCGUUGGAAUUCAGGUGACUUCCUAUUGAGGUGAUCUAAAGUUCAUGAAAGUUUUAAGAAAUGGCUUCCGAUGAUUUAAGCUUCCAUUUCAUUGCCAACCCGCCCGAUCCUCUAGAAAUUAUUACAGACCAGACAAGGUCUUCUUACAUACUACAACCUAUUUGUCUUAUUUUGCUUCUUUGGUUCUUCUUGAACAAUCAUGUUGAUCAUGAUUAUUGUUCUCUAUUAUAGCUCAUAAUUAGGGGUAAAAAUAAUAGGUCAGGGUACUAUGACUUUAUAGCGGUAGUGUUUUCCUUUUUCUGCAUUUGAAGGAAUGUAUACAAUGUUGUUAUUGCAUGAGUGCUUGAUUCAUAGGACACAAAGAACCAAAUUUAGAUAUGGUAAAAAAACCAUCCAGGGAGGCGCGCAACACUCAAAAUUGUUUGAGUUCAUCUAAUUGCUUAUUGACCAGGUUUUCUUAAAACAUUUUGCUUUUGUUCAUAAAUCGAUUCUGGGGAAAUCAGGUCUGGACAAACUCUAACUCCACUACUAUUAACUCUGUUAAAUUUUGUGCUUCUGCUCCUAUAUCUCUAACAAUGCCCAAAUUGUCUUGCCAUGUCCAUCAGAUACUUGAGAUAGUUCCAAUCACAUGUGUAUGUCUUCCUUAAAUGGUUUUUUUUUUUCAAAGAAGCUCAGGUAACUAUUGUUCAUGUGAGAACCGUGUAUGCUUUGCUGCUCUAACCAUUUUCAUUCGUCCAUUAAAAGAAUGACAUACAUAGUAUAGCUACAUUGAUACAUUGACAUUCCUUCCAAUUUAUCUAUAAUUCGUGCUAGGAGAUGUAAUAGCAGUAUUGUUAAACGAUUACAUGAUAAGAAUCUAUUUGAGAAAAUCUACUACAUACUGUACAUUUAUCAUCUUAGGCUAUAUCCAUAGCAUUUGUCUCCAUUGUGUACAAUGUUUAGGAUAGUUACACUCCUGAGUAUUCAGAGAUCAAUAAGACAGUGCAAGAUCGUUGCCUCUACCAAUAUAGGUUAUGAACACCAAGACAGUUGGAUGGAGGUCAGAUCGGAGUAUAAUGAAGUUUCUAAAAAAAAAAGAGGAAUGUGAGCUCCUACCUGUUUCAUCAUAAAAUUCCCUUGUACUAACUGUCUUAAGUUGGUCUUGCACCAUAUUCAUUUUCUUCAAUGCCUUUCGGCCUUCUCUUUUUAGGUUCGAGAUAGAUUUGAUGUAUCUGCGAUCUCCCCUUAGUCUGCCAACAAGUGUCACAAUUAGGGCGAUGAUUGGUCUUUUAUAAAUCUAAUUAUUCUAGGUAAAUAGGAUGAAAUAAGGAUCUAUGUUGGCUAUGGUGCCAUACAUAAUUUAGCACUGCAUUAUCCUUAUUUUUUUAUGUAAGCUACUUCAUAUUUCGUGAUGCACAUACUUGGGUUGUUUUACCUUAUUGGGCCGAAAAAACCAACAUUGUUCUAUUAUUGAAGAAUGUUAUGUGAACUGUAUAAACUUGCUUUCCUCUAUUGCUCAUUAUGUUGUAAUAUUUGCAUUGAGUUGGAUUCAGAUCUCUUUUGCAUUCUAAUUUUUGCUAGCAAGGGUUACACCUAUUUUUAUUAAACAAAGGUUUCGCACAUACUUAUCGUCCUGUUAAUUACUUAUGUAGUUCAUGUAGGAUAAAUUCUUUGAUUGAUGAAACUAUGAUAUCAUGCUUCUUGCCUAGUCAGUUUUUUUCUUAUUUCGGUCGUAAUUAGAAAUCACACCAUAUACUGAGGCCUUUCUGUUUCUCCUCUUUUGUCAGAACUAAUCAAUGAUGACGAGAGGACAUGACAGUUUCCUGGAAAAGAUGGCCAUGCAGAUUGGCAUGCCAAGGUCCAAGACAGGUACCUCCCGUGACUUGAUGAAGCAGGGCAUCCACAUUGAAGACCGAACAGGGGCGGCAGCGGCAUGCCAGCGGGAAAAGAGUGAACAAAGAGAGCUGCGACGGACGCUUUGAAGAAUUGACCGAAGUGUACGGCAAAAAGGAAUUGAUAGAGAACAAAAUUGGGCAGUGAUUGGGAUGAUGAGAUUGGGCUUGCCACUGUAUGCCUAGGACGAUGGGUUUUCUUGUAAGAGAUAGUACUAAGGCAGAUUCAGAUUAAUCCACAUCCAUUAAAAAAACUCAA